rnacentral:rRNA from 1 species
UACAGAGAGUGCGAACGUUGUUCGGAAUUACUAGGCGUAAAGCGUGCGCAGGCGGUUUUGUAAGUCGGAUGUGAAAUCCCCGGGCUCAACCUGGGAACUGCGUUUGAAACUACAAGGCUAGAGUGUAGCAGAGGGGGGUGGAAUUUCACGUGUAGCAGUGAAAUGCGUAGAGAUGUGGAGGAACACCGAUGGCGAAGGCAGCCCCCUGGGUUAACACUGACGCUCAGGCACGAAAGCGUGGGGAGCAAACAGG